CCCCCGCUCAGCACGGGCGCAGGACCGCCCUCCUCCUCACACGCGGCCCACGAAGUAGUAGCGCAGAAGCACAAUCAUCCCCGCGACGAGGUGGAGUGGGAGGAGCACGGCGGCCGCAAGCGUAAGCCGCAGCGCCUCCGCCGACGCCAGCGGGCCGCGACAGAUGACCCCAUCCAGCUCCUCCGGCGGCUCCCCGCCUACCGCCUGGGCAGGCGCGGUGGCUGCGACCACAUCGGAGAGGAGCGGGCUCUCCGUGUGGGCCCCGGCGGCGGCGCACCGGCACUGUGGAGAGCUAUUGGGCAUCCCCGCGGAAGGGCCGAGCGCCGGGCCGGAUCGGCGCGGAGCGACGAAGAUGGGGGCGCGAGCAGUGGAGCGACAGCUCUUCGACGGAGGCCAUAGCGGCGGCAGAGAUGUACUCACGGACCGCGACGGCGGCGUCAGAAGCGUAUUGGCCGGUGAUUGAGUCAUUGAGUGGAUAGGCGUCCUCCUCCAGGCCCUGCUCCAUAUCCUCCACGGCAUCCCAUCCUGCGCCUAGCUCCUGACCAUCGCCGAGAUGCUGAGAACAGCGAUGGCCGCUUGGUUCCCUCCACCCAUUGCCUCCUGCCCCAAGCCUAGGUGAAGCCUGGGCCAAAAAGACGGCCGAGCUGCGCCAAGCUACUCCCUGACGGUCGAGCUGCUCUUGACUAGAGCCUGCUACUCCCGACCAAGCACACGCAAAGGCAACCAACAUUACCUGCACUACCUGCAAGUGUUCGACAAAAUGCCUAGCCUAACGUAUAGCUUCAUUCACCACUAUCCAAUUUCUAUUCUGCAAAUGACGUCAACAGAAUUAUAUUUUUACAAGCAUGGUGCACGAGAUGGAGUUCUGACUUACUAAUGAGUAUUUAUUAAAAGAAAAAUACACGUCAUAUUUAGUUCAUGUAUUACAUAGAAGUAAUCUCAUAAAAAAACUAAUACAGAAUUUAAUGUUUGCAGGUAUACAGCUCAAUCAAAGUUCUAUGCAAAAAGGGUGUAGAGCUCAAUCAAAGUUCUUUGGAAAAAGAUAGCCAUUAUAAGGAAAACAUCUACUGCUGCUACAAUGAUGUAUGAACAUGAGAAAGCAAGAUGUUAUUCUGAAGACACCGCUGCUAGGAAAUGGCUGAGGAAACGAGGUUUUGCAGUUUUGUUGUUCUGAAUAGCGGCAAGCUCUGCAAUACGCUGGUUCACUCAAUCAAUAUAUUAAAUAUUACUUGGCAAAUCUGCCUGAUACACUGCUUCUCCUAAAAAAGUAUUCUUGAUGCUUA